rnacentral:tRNA from 1 species
AAGAAAGAGCGCAAGAACUGCUAAUUCAAGCCCCCGUGCCUAAAAAACAUGGCUUUCUUA